GAACCAGUCCCUUAACCUUUAGAGCAGUUCUUCCAGGUGAUUAUUCUUGACUGCUCUGUGAACUGAAGACAAGGACGAGAUUCAGAGAAACAGAGAGGUUGCAUCCAUUUCUCAGGGCCCAGACGGUGACACUAAGGAUGAAGACCUAGCUCUGUUAUCCUUCAGGCUUUAUACCCUUCCUGUACUGGUUCCAAUCCAUAGCAAGAAACCACCCUUGAACAGUAAAUAACACGAUCUUGGGGUUCAUGGUGUGUUCAGAUAUCCCGCAACAGCAAGUCAUUCAGACGAUCAGUGCUGCUCUCUUAGCAGGGGACACUCCUCAAGCAGGACUGGAUUAAUCCAUGGGAGCGAGCAGCUGAGCCGUGAGAAGCCAGAAAGCCUGAUGUGGUCCACCCCUUUCCCUGGAAUCACUCCUUUCCAUGUGGGCUGAAUGCCCACGUGCAGCUGUCUGAUCUCAGGAUUUCUAUCAUCCAGAGUAUUCUCUGGAAGCUCCAGCGGGGUUGGCCCAGCUCCUGGCUUCCUCUCCUGGCAACAGCCUCAGGUCUUUUUGAUGAAUUGAAUGAGAAGUGGAGCCCUCAGGUCCAGUCCUGAUCCUGCAGGUGCUUGCUCAUGAAGCUUACACAGAACUCAUGUGACCACGAAGCCAAGGUGGCCGAGAGAAGGCAGCUUCCUGGAAUCUCAGCCUUCCACCAGGCCAGGAGCCAGUCUGCUGCUUCUGUCUGCCUGUACCAAGCAUCUCCCUCAGAGGGAGGAGCCAUGGCCCCAGAAGAUGCUAAGCACUAAAGGAGGCCAUAUGCUUCUACCUUACCAGGUUUUCCGAUGCCCGUGGAGGUCAGAAGAGGGUACCGGACCAAUGGAAUUCAGGUGGCUGUGGUGAGCGCUGUGGGUUGUGAGAACUGAACCUGGGUCCUCUGUAAGAAGGACAAGAGCUCAUGACUGCUUAUCUUCUCUCUGGCCCCUCAUUUUACCUUCACGGGGUCUUGCGUGGCCCAGCCUCACCUCUGAGCUGCUGCUCAGAGAAGGGUGAGUUUGAACUCCCGAUCUUCCUUCCUCUGCCUCCCAAGUGAUGAGAACUGCCACUCCAGGUUUUUGCAGAGCUGAGGACUAAAGUUGGUGCACCAGAGAUGGUGGUUUCUCUGCUUAGCCCUGGCUGUCCUGGAACUCCCACUGUGAACCAGGGCUGGCCUCAAACUCACAGAGAUCUGCCUGCCUCUGCCCCCAGAGUGCUAGGAUUAAAGGCGUGCGCCACCACUGCUGGUAAAAAAGAAAAACAAAACCCAAACCCUUGUUUCUUCCCGCAUACCCUCUCAGUAAGUUUAUCUUCUCCUUGUGGCUUCAGAGCCCUGAGCAGAGCAGGGUUUAUCAACCCCACAUCACAGAGGAAACAUAAAAGGCCCAUUCACCCUGAGAGCAGACGGCUCAGCACAGUGCCCUGGGGCGGGCUACGGCUGCAACAUACUGCGGGUUGUUUCACGAGAGUCUGGGGGGCAUGAACAUAAAAUGGGUCUUUAGGGCAAUGUAUCUACGUUACUACACGGCUGCAAAGGUUAUCAUGUCCCAAACCACCAUAAAAGAGAGCCCAAGGUAGCCUUGAUUUCUUGAUUUCUUUGUUCUGUUGCUGUUUUGUAACUCAGGAUUAAAGCAUCCACCCCUGUUUCACCACAUUCCGUCUGGGAGACGGGGUUAGAACUGAGAUAAAAGGGGGGGGGGGGAGCCUUUGCUCACACCCCCCUCCACUUUUAAUAUUUACUAUUAUUUUGUGUGUGCGUGUGCGUGUGUGUGCGUGUGCGUGUGUGUGCGUGUGUGUGUGCAUGUGUGUGUGUGUGUGUUCGUGUGCAUGUGAGUGCACGUCCUCUGACCCCUGUGGAGGACAGAGAUACCAGACUCCCCUGGAGCCAUAGUUACAGACAUCUGUGAUUUGCCUGAUGUGGGAACUGAACCGGGGAGUUUUGGAACUGGGACAGCCCCAUUGCUGCUCAUCCUCCCUGUGCCUCGAUGCUUUGCCCUCACCUUCACAG
rnacentral:lncRNA from 1 species